AACUCGAAAGGAAUUGAGGGGGCCCGCGACAAGCGGUGGAGUAUGUGGUUUAAUUCGAUGCAACGCGAAGAACCUUACCUAGGUUUGACAUCCGGAAGACCUUCCCGAAAAGGAAGGGUGCCCUUCGGGGAAUUCCGAGACAGGUGCUGCAUGGCUGUCGUCAGCUCGUGCCGUGAGGUGUUGGGUUAAGUCCCGCAACGAGCGCAACCCUAUUGCCAGUUGCUACCAGGUAAUGCUGGGCACUCUGGUGAGACUGCCCCGGUUAACGGGGAGGAAGGUGGGGACGACGUCAAGUCAUCAUGGCCCUUACGCCUAGGGCUACACACGUACUACAAUGGCGCAUACAAAGGGCAGCGAUACCGCGAGGUGGAGCCAAUCCCAAAAAGUGCGUCCCAGUCCGGAUUGCAGUCUGCAACUCGACUGCAUGAAGUUGGAAUCGCUAGUAAUUCGAGAUCAGCAUGCUCGGGUGAAUGCGUUCCCGGGCCUU
rnacentral:rRNA from 1 species